AGUGAACGCUGGCGGUAGGCCUAACACAUGCAAGUCGAACGGCAGCACAGUAAGAGCUUGCUCUUACGGGUGGCGAGUGGCGGACGGGUGAGGAAUACAUCGGAAUCUACUUUUUCGUGGGGGAUAACGUAGGGAAAUUUACGCUAAUACCGCAUACGACCUACGGGUGAAAGCAGGGGAUCUUCUGACCUUGCGCGAUUGAAUGAGCCGAUGUCGGAUUAGCUAGUUGGCGGGGUAAAGGCCCACCAAGGCGGCGAUCCGUAGCUGGUCAGAGAGGAUGAUCAGCAAGCUUGGAGCUGAGACACGGUCGAGACUCAUACGGGAGGAAGCAGUGGGGAAUAUUGGGCAAUGGGCCAAAGCGUGAUACAGCAAGACGGCGUGGGUUAAGAAGGCCUUCGGGUUGUAAAGCCGUUUUGUUGGGAAAGAAAAGCAGCAGGUUAAAACCCCGCGGUCCUGACGGUACCCAAAGAAUAAGCACCGGCUAACUUCGUG
rnacentral:rRNA from 1 species